UUUUACUUCCUUGUUCAAAAUCUGUAGGACAGAUAAGGUGUUACUUCAAUGUAUGUAAUAUAAACCUUUCAUUUUAGAUAAUGUCUGUAUGAUAUAGAUCUUCCUUUAUGUCGGAAUGCUGUUUUCAGUGAUCUUAUAAUUAUAAAACUACAACCCAAUAGGCAUAAAAGGCAAUAUAUAAAUUAUUUCUAUUUAAAAUCCCAAAUUAUACAUAAUUUUGUUCAUAUACAAUGUAUUAAAUAAACAAGCUCACAUUUACAAAAAAUAAAAAUAAACUAAAAAAAUCUGGAGCAACACAUUUUCUCAAUGAUAAUGCUGGAUCACAGCCUUUUAUCUACAAGGAUUCCCUUAUAACAAGCAGUUCAUAACUUCAUUAACAUGAUCAAGACUCAAUAUUGUCUUUGUAACGGAUCACAUCAAAGACAUCAAAUAAGGCGAUAAGUCGAGUAUGCGGUCUAUAUAAGUAUCUUUAUUCUUCAAAACUACAUAUAAUUUUGGCUUCAUAUACUAUAUCAUAACAACCGAUUCUCUACAAUAAAAUACAAAUUAAUACACGUAAGUUAAAAUAUAACUUAAAACACUAAAGGCAUAAUACUAAUCAAACAAUAUGAUUCACUUUCUUUCACGCUUCAUAAGUAACUUGUUGAAUUAAAAAGUUAAUUAGAAUAAAUAUUAAUUUAUAAAUACUUUUACAAUUCUUAAUAUUUCUUCUUUAAAUAAAUAUUGUUCUUAAAAAUGUACAUAAAUUAUCUCUUACCGAUUAUGAUCUCUCUAUAAAAUAAUGAUGUGUCUCCGAAUAUCAAAUAACUUGCAAUGAAUAAAAAACUAGACAACGUAACGUACGUCAAAAGCGAAACGUCAUAAAACUUAAAAACGGGAAAUAUUAUAAUGUUCAUGAGCGCAUCGUUACAUAUGCGCAAAUACCCAAAAAUAGUAUCUACAAGUAUUAUAAAUAAAAUAAAUAAAUUCAGUAAUAAUAAAUGAAGUAACCCAACAAUUUGGAAUUACAUUUCAAAUCUAACAGUCUUGUAAGACUAUCAGUUAUCUUGUUUGACCCCUAAUUUUGCAUUUCUUAAGUAUAUUAUACUAAGUUUACUUAGCUUUAUGCUAAGUUACAGUAAAUGGGCUAUGCCACAGAUUUUGGUUUGGAUCAUUGAAAAAAAAUUGUGUUCGUAAAUUAAUUUAGUACAUGUAGUAGUUGAACGUAAAAUAACAGUUAUCACCAAACAUUUACCUAUAAGACCAAAAUUAUUUAACAAAUCAGGACGACAUAAAAUUAUUAAAAUAUCCUUAGGAAACCAUAUUUUAGAAUGUGUACAGAACUAGUAUUAGUACAUAUACUUGAGAAUAUUUUUUUUUAGCAUCUGGGAACUUUCAAAAGGCAAAGAAUAGAACAUAAUAAUAAAAGAAUGACAGCUUAUUGCAAAUUAAGGAAGACCUUUUCAGUGGAAAGCCCAAAAUCUAUUACUUCAUUACAUAUUUAUAACCAUUAUAAUCGGACCUAUCUUGUUGUAUGGAUAUGAAAUUUGGGGUUAUAUACCACAUAAGAAACAACAAGAGGCUGUCACAACGACAGCAAACCGGAUUUAUUAAUAUUUAUUUGUGUCCUGGCAAUAUCAAACCAUUACUGAUGAAUGGUGAAAGUGAAAAUCGUCAAUAAAUUUGACCUCCAUUUUGUCAUCAGUAUAACAUAUUAAAAUUUGAAAGCUUAGAUUGAAUGGUUCAUGAGUAAAUGCAACAACUUGAAUGGAAACGCCAUUUUACAAUCUUUCAAGAACCAUAACUCCUGAACGGUAAAAGUCAAAAUCGUCAUUAUUGAACUUGACCUCUAUUUUGCCAUCAGUAACAAACAUAAAAAUUUCAAAGCUUUGGUUGAAUGUUCAUGAGAAAAUGCACGGACACGACUGGAAACACCAUUUUUCAAUCUUUCAAGAACCAUAACUCCUGAACGGUAAAAGUCAAAAUCGUCUUUAUUGAAGUUGACCUCUAUUUUGUCAUCAGUAACAACAUAUUAAAAUUUGGGAAGCUUUGGUAGAACAGUUCAUGCGUAAAUUCACGGGCACGACUGGAAACUCCAUUUUUCAAUCUUUCAAGAACCAUAACUCCUGAACGGUAAAAGUCAAAAUCGUCAUUAUUAAACUUGACCUCCAUUUUGUCAUCAGUAUUAAACAACAUAUUAAAAUUUGGGAAGCUUUGGUAGAACAGUUCAUGCGUAAAUGCACGGACACGACUGGAAACUUCAUUUUUCAAUCUUUCAAGAACCAUACAUGUAACUCCUGAACGGUAAAAGUCAAAAUCGCCAUUAUUGAACUUGACCUUCAUUUAGUUGUCAGUAACAACAUAUUAAAAUUUUAAAAGCUUUGGUUGAACGGUUCAUGAGUUAAUCACGACAACAUUUGAUUGCCGCCCGCCCGCCAACUGCCCGACCGCCGCCGCGUACAUCCCCAAAUCAUAACCGACAUUUUUGUCACAAAAAUCCGGUUAAAAAUAUAUGGAUAACUUCAUAUCAAAAGAAACUGAUUAUCUUGUUCUAGAGAAAAUUCAUACUAAGUUUUGUAAGUUUUCUUGGAAGUAAUUUAAAAACAUCAAAUAUGGCAUGUAGAGUUGAACUAGAUUAACUCCCUACACUUUAUUAUGUAAUUAUCAGUAUGAUAAAAUAUUGGAAUCAUCGUAUGAAAGAAUUGAACCUUCAAAUAUUAUCCUAUAUGGGAGGCCAUAAAUUUAUCCCAUUCUGUGAACAAACCUAACCAGGAAUCUUGGAUAGGAAACAUCAAACAUAUAUUAAAUUCCAAGAUCAUGUAGAUUUAGACUUUUCUUUUGUUAACAAGUUUGAAGUACUGUUAAACUUUACAAAAAAACUAUAUUUAAAAAAGAGUUUAAAAAUUCUCUUAAACAAUAAAAUUUUAAAGAAAUUUGGAUGCCAAUAUACAGUAGGGCAAUAGAUUAAGAACUUAAAGACAUUUUUAUGUCCCAUUUAUGGGCAUUAUGUUUUCUGGUCAGUGCGUCCGUCCGUCUGUUUGUCCGUCCGUUAGUCCGUCCGUUAGUCCCGCUUCAGAUAAAAGUUUUUGGUCAAGGUAGUUUUUGAUGAAGUUGAAGUCCAAUCAACUUGAAACUUAGUACACAUGUUCCCUAUUUAAUGAUCUUUCUAAUUUUAAUGCCAAAUCAGAGAUUUCCCCCCAUUUUCACGGUCCACGUAACAUAGAAAAUGAUAGUGAGGAUGGUGCAUCUGUGUACUGGGGACACAUUCUUGUUUAAAUAUAUUUUAUUUUUGAACCAUAUUUAACAAUAAAUUUAAAAAAAAAAAAAAAAAGAAGACAAGCAAAUAAUUACAAGAUUUAAACAUAGCUGUCAUAACCUUGAAAUUGAAAGAGGGAGGUAUGUUGGUAUAAAAACUAUAAAUGUGUAAGCUAUGUAAGAACAUAGUUGAAGAUGAACUACAUUUAUUUUUAAAAUUCUUUCUAAUUCAGAUUCUAAAUUCAAAAUUAUUUGAUGAAAUGAAAUUAAUUUUGAUUCUUUCAUCUGAAGAUUUGUUUGUUCCUUCAAACUUAUCUAAAUUAUAGCACUCCUUUUUGAAGAACAAAAGUAAUUUCUAGAAAAUAUCGUGUAAUUUGAAAAAAACAGACAUAUAUAAUAAAAUCUGUCCAGAGUCAUUCCCAUACAUGUAGGCCUAGGUCCAUACAUUGAUUCAGAAAUUAAAUUUCUCUAGGUCAGUAGGUGGCAGUGGCUUCCAAAAGACUUAAUGUUUUGUCAAUGACAUUGUUUAUAAUUGUGUUACAUUGUCUAAAUGUGUAUACAUGUUUUUGUUUAAAUGUUAAAUCAUUCUAAUCAAUUUUGUUAAUCAUUUGAUUGUAUUCAUAUGCAUGUAGCUCAAAUUUUGAGCACCAUGAUUGGUUAAUAAGCAUUUUGUAUCUUUGGGCUUUAAGUGCACUUGAUGAAGGGAGUAUAUGAAAUUUGUCUGUAACUGAGUAAAGAACACCACAUGCAUUAAACAUAAAUUCUCCCUCUUUUGCCUUUUCCAAGUGUUAGUUUUAGACAUGGUACAGGAUUUUUAUAAUUAUAGAAGUCUUAUCUUUAAGGUUCUAAAACAAAAAAAUUAACAAAAAUGCCAAACUGGCAGAGGAAAACUCCAAAUGGAAAGUCCUUUAAUUAUCAAAUGUCAAAAUCAAAAGCUCAAAUUAAACACAUCAAAUGAAUAAAAAACAACUGUCACAUUCUUGACUUUGUACAGACAUGUCCUAAUAAAGAAAAUGGUAACAAGACCAAAUUUUGUAAAAACAAGAUCUAUAAAAAAAAAUUAAAUGUGUGAAAGAAUUUCUAACAAUUAUCGUGACAGAACAACAUGUAGAAAUAGAAUAUAAUAAUGUUCUAAGUAUUUUUUUCUGUAGAACAACUACCACCGUUGGUGACCAUGCCUCUAAAGAAAGAAGAUGCCGCUAGAAUUAAGAAAAAUUAUAAAACUAUUAUUGAGAAUCUGACGAUAGAUAAUAUAUUAGAUCAAAUGAUUGAAGACGAUGUUUUUGAUUUAGAUGAUUUGGAAAAAAUAAACUCCAGAACAACACAAAAAGAUAAGAAUAGGGAAUUUGUUGCACUCCUCAUUAGAAGUCGUGACAAAGGAUACAAAGUAUUCAUAAAGUGUCUAAAAGAAGAUGAAUCAUACAAAGAUAUAGCACACCAAAUAGAGAAUACACAAGUAGAGACAAUUAAAGAUGAAAACAUUG
rnacentral:lncRNA from 1 species